rnacentral:rRNA from 1 species
GACGAACGCUGGCGGCGUGCUUAACACAUGCAAGUCGAACGAAGUGGCGAACGGGUGAGUAAUACGUGGGUAACCUGCCCUCCUUUUUGGGAUAAGCCUUGGAAACGGGGUCUAAUACCGAAUAAAGGGGGAUGGGCUCGCGGCCUAUCAGAUUGUUGGUGGGGUGAUGGCCUACCAAGGCGGUGACGGGUAGCCGGCCUGGGAGGGUGACCGGACACAUGGGGACUGAGAGACGGCCAAGACUCAUACGGGAGGGAGCAGUGGGGGAUAGUGCGCAAUGGGCGAUAGCCUGAUGCAGCGAUGCCGCGUGGAGGGUGAAGGCUUUCGGGUUGUUAACGUCGUUCGCUAACGAGCGGGUAGGUGGAGAAGAAGCGCCGGCUAACUACGUGCCAGCAGCCGCGGUAAUAC